rnacentral:lncRNA from 1 species
GUUUUGUUUCCCUUACUUUUAUAACUUUUUGCCAAAGUGGCUUAUAAGCCAGGAUACCAAAACAAUCUAAAUAGAAGGCCAUUUAAUGUGAUAUGAUUAUCCUGUUCUGUGGGCUUAAACAGUGUGAGCAAGUGUAUCUAAAUAUAAUCAUGCUAUUUGGUUCAAGAGCUAAUCCCAUUAAGUGUGUUUUUAAAAUUCAACAAAUGUUAUUUCAGACACUCAUUACCAGAAUAAAAAUUUUAGUCUGUUUGUUUCUGGCAGACCUUCUGGAUCCUCCUCAAGAAGCUCACAUAUGCCUUCAAACAAAAAUGUCACCCAGUGAGCUCUGCCACGCUCAAGGGCUUUCUGCAGUAACCUGGCUGAACAGUUUUCCUUCGUUAAUUUGAGGAAAGUUUUGGGCCAAAUUAUUGAGGUCAGUAACAAAGGAAUGUUCUGGAAAGAAGAUUGUGAAAGGGUAUGGAGUCAUCUAAUUCUCUAUGUUCACAUCCUCAACCUUGUAAAAUCCAAUCAAGAUUAUUAA